GAUCUCAGUUCGGAUUGCAGGCUGCAACUCGCCUGUAUGAAGUCGGAAUUGCUAGUAAUCGCGGAUCAGCAUGCCGCGGUGAAUACGUUCCCGGGCCUUGUACACACCGCCCGUCACACCAUGAGAGUCGGGAACACCCGAAGUCCGUAGUCUAACCGCAAGGAGGGCGCGGCCGAAGGUGGGCUUGAUAAUUGGGGUGAAGUCGUAACAAGGUACC
rnacentral:rRNA from 1 species